AUACGAAGGGGGCUAGCGUUGUUCGGAAUCACUGGGCGUAAAGCGCACGUAGGCGGACGUUUAAGUCAGGGGUGAAAUCCCAGGGCUCAACCCCGGAACUGCCCUUGAUACUGGACGUCUCGAGUCCGGGAGAGGUGAGUGGAACUCCGAGUGUAGAGGUGAAAUUCGUAGAUAUUCGGAAGAACACCAGUGGCGAAGGCGGCUCACUGGCCCGGUACUGACGCUGAGGUGCGAAAGCGUGGGGAGC
rnacentral:rRNA from 1 species